GUUGUCCUUCUUUUUUUCUCUACCUGUUUUUCUCUCUCUCUCCCACUCUCUCCCUCUCUCUCCCUCCCUCUCUCUCUCUCUCUCCCUCUCUCUUCCUCUCUCCCCCUCAUUCCCUCCUCCCUGUUGAGCUCUUCUGCUCCUCCUCCCAGCAGUAGAGUAGCGCCGGCCUCCACUCAAGUCUUCAGCUGCGCGGCUCCCGAGCCCUCACACACUCUGACACACGCGCACAGGCAGGCCACCAGGCUCCGACUCUCACACACACACACACAUACUCACAUCCUCCUCCUCCACACACACACACACACGCUCACGCACAGACACAGUAGACAGCUGGACACACUUGGACACACUUGGACACACUUGGACAACAUGACCUGCACAGGAACCAUGUGGAGUAGAGGAACUUUUACUCACAGUGACAUCUAAACAGAUUUACUGUAAACACUGAGACUUAACUUCAAGAACCAGAACCAUUGGGCUUCAGCUGCUUGAUCAUGAGCAGCACCUGACGGACUCUCUUCCUUGUCCAGCGGUGACUCUGACAGCUCCUCGGCCUCAGUGGACUAAUCUGUUUGGCAUCAUGAGCCUGAAGAAGAGAAGGCCAAGCGUGGCGUUCAGCUGGCACAAGUCUUUCACCAUCCUCGCCCCAUGGAGAAAAGGAAAAGGUGAUGUGAUGUUAGAAGGUGAAGUUGUGCUCACCAAAAUGAAGGUCCUCAACAACUUUGACAAACGGCUAAACCUGGAGGACUCUGUUUCCACCCUCUCCUUGUCUGUCUCGGAGCAGGAGGUACCUGAGCAAGCAAAAGCUGCUGAAGUGAGCUCUGUAAAGAGCGCCCCUGCUGGACAGGAGUCCAAAGAAGACUACCUGUCCGCCAUUUUCUCAGACCCACAGCUCCCCAGAUUGUACAAAUUUGAGUCAGAGGACUCUGGUGUGGAGUUGCCCAGUGGGGCAAACUCACCCUCCACCCCGACAGGAUCUGAGCAGAGCUUUGUGGUGCACAGCCGGGAGAACUCUCCCCUCCCCUCCCAGGACCCCCUUCUGCUGCUGGAGGCUGAGUGUGCAGAGAUGGAGAUGAGUGAGAUGGAGCAGCUGGAGGAGACAGUGAUAGCUGACGUGCUGGAGACAGACCUCACUGAGGUGGAUGGCAUUGCGGAGGGAGAGGACACUGAAUGUCAGUUAGAGGAGGAGAGGUCAGAUUCAGACCUGGAGAGGCCCGAUGACGGGUCCUUGCGGAACCCCUCCGAGGACUUUGAGAGUGAGUCAGGGCAGCUGGUGGAAGAGAGGGUCACUGUACCAGGAAGCACUGGGGCAGUGGAGGAGGACACAAGGCCAAGGACUGAGAGCUCAGAUCAAGCCUGCGACGACAUGGUGACGGGGGCAGUGUUUCAGGGGGCAUCCCUCAGGAAGAGCACAACCAGUGAUAGUUUGGACGAGUACAUGGAGGAGUGCUGCAGGCUGAGUGAGCAGGUGAAGCAGGCGCAGGCUAACCCUCUGGGCUCUGGGCUGGGCUACCUGGAGCACAUCUGCCAGCUGAUAGAGAAGAUCGGCCAGCUGCAGGAGCACAAUCUCAAGCUCCAGAAACAGAUCUGUGGCCUGCAGAAGGACGGACGCGUCAUCAAAACAAAAGAGGAUUUUUUCAUGCACCAUUGUAACUGUGGCGCAGCGAGCCUGGCUUUCCAGGAGCUGAAGCGACAUUCCCGGAGUGAUUUUCCAAGCGGGACACUUUCCGACCUGACCACCAUCCCCGAGGUCACGCACAAUCCCCUGAGAGGAGCCAGAAGAGAUGGAGACGCAGUCUUCCAGCCCAAUGUUCCGCUGUGGAGGCGGGGUCUUAACAGGCGGAGCUACACAGAGGGGGAGGCCCGUUACCUGGGCGACAGUGCAGAGGUCCUGUCUGCACCUCACAGAAGGCUGAGUGAGAACUACACCUGGGGGAAGGUGAAAGAGCUGGUGAAGAAGACCAAGCUGAGGAACCAGAACCGUCUGGGUCUGUCCUCCAGUUCCCUCAAGAACUCCUGUCCUCAGCUCUACCGGCCUGACCUGGGACCUAUGGAUCUGCCCAGGAGAGACAGGAACUCCAUGAUCGCUCUGGGACAUCAGAGCAAAGCGGACUUCCUGUGGUCAAAGUAGUGGAACAAAGAGGAUAGAAUACAGCCCCUGCCCCCCGCCCCCAAAAAAGAGGAGUAUAACCAACGAGGAUAGAGAGAAGAAGAAGAAGAAGAGAGCGAGAGUAGAGUACUGUGGGAGAUCAGAAAGAGGAAGGAAAGCUUCGAUACAGAAGAUGGAGAAGUGGAACAGGCAGCAUGUGCUGUUUCUCAAGCCCACAGAGAGACCCUGUGGCCGUGGGUUGCAUGUGAAGAGACAACAGGCCCCCACAUAGCAGCUCAGUCUGGGAGAGAUCACGGCCACAUCCACACAGAUAAGGACCAGAUCAGAGCCACAUCAGGGCCAAAACGAGGACCAGAUCUGUGCCACAUCAGGGCCAGAUAUGUGCCAAAUCCAGACUACAUCCGUGCCAGAUUGUGGCCAAAUUAGGACCACAUCAAUGCAAGGCCCUGUCUAGAUCGGGGCUAAACACGUGCCAGGGUCAGCAGCUAUCUGGGGGAGUGAGAAGCUGGUGAUUGUGAGAAGGUUGCUAUGAAGAGGGAGACGUGCAACUCGUGUAUAAAUGUAAAAUAGCACACUUUUUACUGAAAAUAUAGUAAUCUGUCAAUGCAGGUUCUAUGUGAACAACUGAAUGCAGAGAGAUUGUGUAUUAUCACUGUCCACAUGGUUGUACAUGAGAAGGACCAUCCUUUCAAGAAAGAUGGCAAAUUCCACAGUUACGUAUAACCACCUUUCCAAUGACUCCAGUGUGAUACAUGUAAACAUUGUUAUGAUGUGAUAGAUGUUAUUUUGACAAAAGCGUUUGCGCUGUAUAGAGAUAUAGUUGGAGAAUUGUUUGGUUAAAGUUUACCUUAAGUGUUUGUAUAUGUGUGUGAGAGUGUGUUUAAACACAGGAGAUAUCGUGCAUGAGUGUAUAAUGUACAAACAUCUGUCCUGGUGUACAUAUGGUGUGUGCCUGUGUAUAUGAGCAAGUCUUUUGUCAGAGAGAGAUAAAGUGCGUGUGUGUGUGUGUGUUUCUGUGUGUGUGGAGUGGGGUAGCCCCAUCCAGUCUAAAUCCUUCAGUGUCUGAUAAUUCAUCAUCUCGGUGAAAGCAGGCUUUAAUGCCUCACUGAAGAUGACUUGUGUGCGUUCUGCGAUCUCCUCGUUUGUGAAAUGUUACAUAAUGUUGGAGAACCGCACUUACGAGGUCUCAGGUCAUAUGGUCCCGCCCCCCCCCCCCCCUCUCUGGGCUCGGAAUGUUCAACAUACGAACAUCAUCCUUAACCGAUCCAUCUUAGGAGACAAAGUUCCGUGGGUUGCCAAGGAACCGUGCACAGAUAACCAUGCCGUGGCAGUCGUGAUGGUAUAAGCCUGAUGGAGAAACCUGCCGUGUGAGCAAACACACUGCCUGGGACGGGAUGUUCCCUUACAGAUGGACCCAGGGGGGGGCAGUGAGUCCCUGCCCCAAAAGGCUGACAACUUUUCCACCCGUCCACUAAUGAGAAAGGCAGGGUGUGUGUGUACGUAUGGGUGAACAUAUGUGUGUGUGUAUGUCUGUGUGUGAGUGUGUGUGGAUACCACCCUCUCAUCUCACUACUGUGUAAAAGGAGUACAGAGUACAGGCAUUUUGAACUCAUUGGUCAUUACACAGGUCGUCUGAACCUACAGGACUUCCAGUUCAAUGGAAUGUCUGCAUCUCUCCCUGGGGUUCCAAACCAUGACCAUCAGGUUACUAUGGUGAUUUCCUACCUGUUACGGGUGGGCUGGAGGCUCCAUGGAAGGCAGUCCAUUCAAGGGCACUCAAAGACGGAGACAGAUUCUGGGUACAAUGAGACGGUGAUAUAGUUUACAUGACCCCCAAGGUAUAACUAUCUUAUCAAGUGUAUACUAUAUUAUGCUGCCUAUAGAAGUAUUCCAAAUACUAAGGAGUAUACUUCAUAUCCCUGAAAAAAUGUGUACUUUAAUCAUAUAAUACAUAAUGUACCUCUAAGUUCUUUAAAGGGGAAAACAGUCUGCAUGGGACACUUAAGGCUGUUUCUGAGGCCAUGAGUGUGUGUGUUUGUGAUAUGUAACUGUGUGUGAUCUGGGCGUCGGAUAUGUUUAAUAUUGUCUGUUUAUUGUACAAUACUGCAAUGGAUGGAAUAUUUCAAUAUGCAUAUUGCAUCUCUAUUCAAGAUUAUUAUUAUUUUUCAAAAUAAAGCUCAUAUUUCUAAAACA
rnacentral:lncRNA from 1 species